AAGAACAGUGUCCUUGGUCUCUAGUCUGUACCUUCAGAUUAUCACCCUAGGAACUGAACAUGCUGUUCUGAGAAGGAGGACUGCUGGGAAGAGAUGGGGUCCGCCUGACCAAGAAGAGGAAGAACAUAAAUUGUGCAUCAACCUGCCAACCUGGUCUGAAACACCUGUGUAAGUAACAGAUUAUGUUCACGGUAGUGAGGUCUGAGUGGCAGCCAUCUCCUUCUGCAAUUAAGCAUCCAAGUGCAACUGAAACAUUUAGAAGUUAUUUAUCAUGUGGACCUCACAGUGAUGGUGCAUGACUUUGUAUCUUCAAGGGACUGAGCCACAGAACCCGCAUGCUGGCAUGGGACAAGAGUUUGAAACAAGAGGGAAGAAUGUUGCAAACUAUAUUUUGGAUCUUGCAACUGUAGUAUCAAAUCAAAGGCUUUAUAGGAGAGCCCACAUUUGACUGAAAUAGCCCAGCUUCUUAACUACUCUGCGUUUGUGAACAUUUAUAAAGACAAAAUUUAGGAAGAUGUUCACAAAGUAUAGACUGUCACAAUCAAGAGCCUCUAUUUAUAAUGUAAAUGAGCAUCUCUGAAUUCCCCCAAUAAGUUCCCAUACUAAUAUCCAGAAACGGAAGAUGGAAGAGUCAUAUUGGAUCAUCCAGUCCAGUGGUUCUCAAACUUUUGUACUCGUGACCCCUUUCACAUAGCAAGCCUCUGUGUGCGACCCCCCCUUAUAAAUUAAAAACACCUUUUUACAUAUUUAACACGAUUAUAAAUGCUGGAGGCAAAGCGGGGUUUGGGAUAGAGGCUGACAGCGUGCGACCCCCCCAUGUAAUAGCCUCAUGACCCCCUGAGGGGUCCCAACCCCCAGUCUGAGAA